rnacentral:rRNA from 1 species
UACAGAGGAUGCAAGCGUUAUCCGGAAUGAUUGGGCGUAAAGCGUCUGUAGGUGGCUUUUUAAGUCCGCCGUCAAAUCCCAGGGCUCAACUCUGGACAGGCGGUGGAAACUACCAAGCUGGAGUACGGUAGGGGCAGAUGGAAUUCCGGGUGUAGCGGUGGAAUGCGUAGAGAUCCGGAAGAACACCGGUGGCGAAGGCGGUCUGCUGGGCAGUUGCUGGACACUGAGGCGCGACAGCGUGGGGAGCAAACAGGG